AUUGAACGCUGGCGGCAGGCCUAACACAUGCAAGUCGAGCGGAUGAAGGGAGCUUGCUCCUGGAUUCAGCGGCGGACGGGUGAGUAAUGCCUAGGAAUCUGCCUGGUAGUGGGGGAUAACGUCCGGAAACGGGCGCUAAUACCGCAUACGUCCUGAGGGAGAAAGUGGGGGAUCUUCGGACCUCACGCUAUCAGAUGAGCCUAGGUCGGAUUAGCUAGUUGGUGGGGUAAAGGCCUACCAAGGCAACGAUCCGUAACUGGCCUGAGAGGAUGAUCAGUCACACUGGAACUGAGACACGGUCCAGACUCCUACGGGAGGCAGCAGUGGGGAAUAUUGGACAAUGGGCGAAAGCCUGAUCCAGCCAUGCCGCGUGUGUGAAGAAGGUCUUCGGAUUGUAAAGCACUUUAAGUUGGGAGGAAGGGCAGUAAGUUAAUACCUUGCUGUUUUGACGUUACCAACAGAAUAAGCACCGGCUAACUUCGUG
rnacentral:rRNA from 1 species